GCUCCUGCUCAUGAGAGAAUAUGGGGAGUUGUAAAAACUAGAGCCCAAUUACCCUUCAGAGAAGUUUGGGUCUUCUACACCGAGUCCAUGAUGCCUUGAACUCUUUGAGGACUUGCCUUUGACUGAUGCUCUCCAUCCCACUCAAUCCAACAAGGAAUCACCAGCCACCAUCUGCUCCAAGAGCCUGACUGACAACUAGCAAUUUGGCAGCUUUUUCUCUCGCAUCAGAGUUGGCCCAUCGGCCCAAGGAGGAGUGGAGGUGAAGCAUAAUGGCCCUGAACGGGAAGCCAGCUGAAAGGAUGAAUGGUGCAAAUGAGAUUAACACCACCCAGCAUUCCUGGAGAGCAACUGCCCAUUGUGGAACAACAAGGUCAAAAGGAUGAUUUAGAGAAGAAACUGUAUUAUCUCUCUGAAGAAUUUUGAGGAAAAGAACUGAUUUGUUUAGCUGAGGGCUUAAGGAGGGGCUAAACUGCUCUGCUGGUCAGGAAGAGGACUGCCGGAUGGAGCUAUGCCCACAGGGGAAUAAGCCCGGGUGGAGGGGACGCCAUUCCCUCUGGUUUAACUGGUAAUGAGCAGAAGACAGCAGGCAAUCCUGAGCAGCCCCCCGCUACAAUCCCCCAAGAAAAGUGGAUUAAAGUGGGGGAAGAACUGGCCCUCUUUGCCUGAUUUGCCUGGCAUGGAACCACCUAAUCCACACACCUGAGACACCUAUGGCUGCCAUGGCCCAGCACCUAAGACUUGAACCAGGAUGAGGACGAGCUUCGGGUGGUCUGACUCCUUGAAACUCCUCUAAAAUGGGAUCGUCUUCACCAAGACUUAGGGAAAACCAGGACGAUGACGAGCUGUGGGCAGUCCUACUCCUUUAAACUAUCAUCUUCACUGAAACUUGGGGCAGACCAUUUGGAUUGGUAACUAUAAGUGUUUUGCUUUGUGUUUGUGUGUGUGUGUGCUUAUGUGGCUAAUCCCUGUUUGAGUAAAAUAAAGCUUUCCACUGUAA